rnacentral:rRNA from 1 species
AACGAACGCUGGCGGCAUGCCUAACACAUGCAAGUCGAACGAGACCUUCGGGUCUAGUAGCGCACGGGUGCGUAACGCGUGGGAACCUGCCCUUAGGUUCGGAAUAACUCCCCGAAAGGGGUGCUAAUACCGGAUAAUGUCUUCGGACCAAAGAUUUAUCGCCUUUGGAUGGGCCCGCGUUGGAUUAGCUAGUUGGUAGGGUAAAAGCCUACCAAGGCGACGAUCCAUAGCUGGUCUGAGAGGAUGAUCAGCCACACUGGGACUGAGACGCGGCCCAGACUCCUACGGGAGGCAGCAGUGGGGAAUAUUGGACAAUGGGCGAAAGCCUGAUCCAGCAAUGCCGCGUGAGUGAUGAAGGCCUUAGGGUUGUAAAGCUCUUUUACCCGGGAUGAUAAUGACAGUACCGGGAGAAUAAGCUCCGGCUAACUCCGUG